AUGAUCUUCAUCGAGCUCCCACUUGAGCUCUAUUGCAUCAUCUGCACUGGUAUCACCAACACCGGCAACUGUUUGGAAGUAUCUGUGAGUCAGGAGGACUCAGCAAUCUCACACCCGCGAGAUCAAGACUAUUUAAGCUUAUGGGUAGGAAAGGGUAGUGAGGUGGAGCUGCAACAAGCACUAGCAUAUAUGGUGGCUACCUUAUGCAAAAGAGAGCGAGAAGAGAAGCAAAGCACGGUCGAGAAGCUAAUAAGUGAUCAAGAAGUGAUCCUGAAGCUACUCACGUUCAAGCAUAACACGAGACCGUGUUCACUUCCCGGACUCCGCCGGAAAGAGACCAUCACGGCUACACACGCGGUUGAUGCAUUUUAA
rnacentral:rRNA from 1 species